rnacentral:sRNA from 1 species
GCUGGGCACAAGGGCGCAUGCCUGUAAUCCCAGAAGCUCGGGAGGCUGAGGCAGGAGGAUCGUGGGUUCAAAGCCAGCCUUGGCAACAGCGAGGCUCUAAGCGACUCAGUGAGACCCUGUCUCUA